UACGUAGGGCGCAAGCGUUAUCCGGAAUUAUUGGGCGUAAAGAGCUCGUAGGCGGUUUGUCGCGUCUGCUGUGAAAGACCGGGGCUCAACUCCGGAUCUGCGGUGGGUACGGGCAGACUAGAGUGUGGUAGGGGAGACUGGAAUUCCUGGUGUAGCGGUGAAAUGCGCAGAUAUCAGGAAGAACACCGAUGGCGAAGGCACUCUACUGGGCUAUUACUGACACUCAGAGACGAAAGCUAGGGGAGCAAAUGGG
rnacentral:rRNA from 1 species